CAGGGUAUAACUAAACUUAUAGUGUUUCAUUUACACCGAAAACGUGCCUGUUCAAAUCGGGCUACUCUGA
rnacentral:tRNA from 1 species